rnacentral:rRNA from 1 species
UACGGAAGGUCCGGGCGUUAUCCGGAUUUAUUGGGUUUAAAGGGAGCGCAGGCUGGCGAUUAAGCGUGACGUGAAAUGUCCGGGCUCAACCGGGGCACUGCGUCGCGAACUGGUUGUCUUGAGUGCGUACGAGGAAGGCGGAAUUCGUGGUGUAGCGGUGAAAUGCUUAGAUAUCACGAAGAACUCCGAUUGCGAAGGCAGCCUUCCAGGCCGUAACUGACGCUAAUGCUCGAAGGUGCGGGUAU